GUUCCGUAGGUGAACCUGCGGAAGGAUCAUUCAUAAUAAAGUGUUUUAUGGCACUUUUUAAAAAUCCAUAUCCACCUUGUGUGCAAUGUUAGAUCUCGUCAAUCUUGGCGAGAUUUUUAUACAUCAACUCAUUCUUUAACUAAUUUGUCUGAAAAAUAUUAUGAAUACUUAAUUCAAAAUACAACUUUCAACAACGGAUCUCUUGGCUCUCGCAUCGGUGAAGAACGCAGC
rnacentral:misc_RNA from 1 species